AUUCGCUCUUCGUCACCCUCCAUCCACACGACAGAGGAGCCGCACCGCCGCCACCACCAUCACCGCAGCUGCCGUCCACCGCCUGCUGAAGGACGCCUCACUGAAUACUUUCAUGGUCCGUUGGUGCUCUUUUUUGUGGCCCAUCAUCUGUCCACACCAAGAAUGUGUCUCAUCAUUCAAGCCUCCCUCCAGAACUGAACUUUCAGCCUGAUACCCCUUCUGUUCACAAGUCAGAAACCUGAGGAUGAACUUUCCAGCUAUGUUCAAGUCAGACAUGAGGACUGCCUGCCCUGUUCUGUAUGACACUGAUGAUAAUAUCCUUAAUGAAUCUCUGACAAU